CCUACGGGAGGCAGCAGUGGGGAAUAUUGCACAAUGGGGGGAACCCUGAUGCAGCGACGCCGCGUGGGUGAGGAAGUACUUCGGUAUGUAAAGCCCUAUCAGCAGGGAAGAAAAUGACGGUACCUGACUAAGAAGCCCCGGCUAACUACGUGCCAGCAGCCGCGGUAAUACGUAGGGGGCAAGGGUUAUCCGGAUUUACUGGGUGUAAAGGGAGCGUAGACGGCGUGCCAAGUCUGGUGUGAAAGGCCGGGGCUCAACCCCGGGACUGCAUUGGAAACUGGCAUGCUGGAGUGCCGGAGGGGCAAGCGGAAUUCCUAGUGUAGCGGUGAAAUGCGUAGAUAUCACGCAGAACUCCGAUUGCGAAGGCAGCAUACCGGCGCGCAACUGACGCUCAUGCACGAAAGCGUGGGUAUCGAACAGGAUUAGAUACCCCAGUAGUC
rnacentral:rRNA from 1 species